CGCGUGGGAAUCUGCCCCUUGGUUCGGAAUAACAGUUAGAAAUGACUGCUAAUACCGGAUGACGACGUAAGUCCAAAGAUUUAUCGCCGAGGGAUGAGCCCGCGUAGGAUUAGCUAGUUGGUGUGGUAAAGGCGCACCAAGGCGACGAUCCUUAGCUGGUCUGAGAGGAUGAUCAGCCACACUGGGACUGAGACACGGCCCAG
rnacentral:rRNA from 1 species